rnacentral:rRNA from 1 species
UUGCAUUUUCAUAAGCGGAGGAAAAGAAACCAACAGGGAUUGCCUUAGUAACUGCGAGUGAAGCGGCAAGAGCUCAAAUUUGAAAUCUGGCACCUUCGGUGUCCGAGUUGUAAUUUGUAGAAGCAUCUUUUGGAUUGGUCCUUGCAUAUGUUCCUUGGAACAGGACAUCAUAGAGGGUGAGAAUCCCGUUCAUGGUGGGGAAUCCAAUUCUUUGUAAAGUGCUUUCGAAGAGUCGAGUUGUUUGGGAAUGCAGCUCUAAGUGGGUGGUAAAUUCCAUCUAAAGCUAAAUAUUGGCGAGAGACCGAUAGCGAACAAGUACAGUGAUGGAAAGAUGAAAAGAACUCCGAAAGGAGAGUGAAAAAGGACGUGAAAUUGUUGAAAGGGAAGUGCUUGAGAUCAGUCUUAAGGUUUAGUGAUCAGUCUUCCUUUUGGUUGGUGCACUCACUAUUUCUUAGGCCAACAUCAGUUUUCGCGGUAGGAUAAUGACAUUGGAAUGUGGCUCUUUCGGGAGUGUUAUAGCCUUUGUUGAUACUACCUGCUUAGACUGAGGACCGCGCUUUUGCUAGGAUGUUGGCAUAAUGAUCUUAAGCAGCCCGUCUUGAACCCGGCCAA